rnacentral:tRNA from 1 species
GCCUCGUUAGCUCAGUUGGUAGAGCGUGAGACUUUUAAUCUCAAGGUCAGGGGAUCGAGACCCCUACGGGGCU